ACGAACGCUGGCGGCACGCUUAACACAUGCAAGUCGAACGAGAGAAGAGAAGCUUGCUUUUCUGAUCUAGUGGCGGACGGGUGAGUAACACGUGAGCAAUCUGCCUUUCAGAGGGGGAUACCGAUUGGAAACGAUCGUUAAUACCGCAUAACAUAAUUGAACCGCAUGAUUUGAUUAUCAAAGAUUUAUCGCUGAAAGAUGAGCUCGCGUCUGAUUAGCUAGUUGGUAAGGUAACGGCUUACCAAGGCGACGAUCAGUAGCCGGACUGAGAGGUUGAUCGGCCACAUUGGGACUGAGACACGGCCCAGACUCCUACGGGAGGCAGCAGUGGGGAAUAUUGCACAAUGGAGGAAACUCUGAUGCAGCGAUGCCGCGUGAGGGAAGAAGGUUUUAGGAUUGUAAACCUCUGUCUUCAGGGACGAAAAAAGACGGUACCUGAGGAGGAAGCUCCGGCUAACUACGUGCCAGCAGCCGCGGUAAUACGUAGGGAGCGAGCGUUGUCCGGAAUUACUGGGUGUAAAGGGAGCGUAGGCGGGAUCGCAAGUCAGAUGUGAAAACUAUGGGCUUAACCCAUAAACUGCAUUUGAAACUGUGGUUCUUGAGUGAAGUAGAGGUAAGCGGAAUUCCUAGUGUAGCGGUGAAAUGCGUAGAUAUUAGGAGGAACAUCAGUGGCGAAGUCGGCUUACUGGGCUUUAACUGACGCUGAGGCUCGAAAGCGUGGGGAGCAAACAGGAUUAGAUACCCUGGUAGUCCACGCCGUAAACGAUGAUUACUAGGUGUGGGGGGACUGACCCCUUCCGUGCCGCAGCAAACGCAAUAAGUAAUCCACCUGGGGAGUACGACCGCAAGGUUGAAACUCAAAGGAAUUGACGGGGGCCCGCACAAGCAGUGGAGUAUGUGGAUUAAUUCGAAGCAACGCGAAGAACCUUACCAGGUCUUGACAUCGUAUGCAUAGCUCAGAGAUGAGUGAAAUCUCUUCGGAGACAUAUAGACAGGUGGUGCAUGGUUGUCGUCAGCUCGUGUCGUGAGAUGUUGGGUUAAGUCCCGCAACGAGCGCAACCCUUACUGUUAGUUGCUACGCAAGAGCACUCUAGCAGGACUGCCGUUGACAAAACGGAGGAAGGUGGGGAUGACGUCAAAUCAUCAUGCCCCUUAUGACCUGGGCUACACACGUGCUACAAUGGUUGGUACAACGAGUUGCGAGUCGGUGACGGCAAGCUAAUCUCUUAAAGCCAAUCUCAGUUCGGAUUGUAGGCUGCAACUCGCCUACAUGAAGUCGGAAUCGCUAGUAAUCGCGGAUCAGCACGCCGCGGUGAAUACGUUCCCGGGCCUUGUACACACCGCCCGUCACGCCAUGGGAGUCGGUAACACCCGAAGCCUGUAGUCUAACCGCAAGGAGGACGCAGUCGAAGGUGGGAUUGAUGACUGGGGUG
rnacentral:rRNA from 1 species